rnacentral:lncRNA from 1 species
GGUUCUAUCGUCUUUCAAUAGAUGGCGCUGUAUUUUUAGUUCACGCUGUACUCGCUAGGUGUCAGUGUGAUCAUUUUUAUAUUCAUAGCAAAGAGUUAGUACUUGUGUUUUGGUAAAAGAUAAGGUUUUACCCAUAGAGAUAGGAAAUUAUAUGGAGGCGCCCUGUUCUACUAUAUAAACAUCAUCUUAUACAAAUAUGAGUAGUUUAUGAAACAGGUCGUCAAUAAUCGUUUUGUCUCUUUUUUACUAGUACAAAAUUUCAUUUGGUAAAAGAGAUAAAUAUAUAUUUGUUAUUUCUAGUUAUGGCAACAUUUUGUGAUGACGUCACAACAGCUGUAGGUGCGUGCCAUUUUUCGCCAUUUUAUGCGCUGUGUUUUGUGGUACUUCUGCUGUCAAGUAGCUGUUUAUGAGAUCGUAUUUUGUGUUUUGCGGAUAAAUUACGAGGAUUUGAUUUGCUAAAUCGAAGUUGAAGUUGAAAAAAGUGUUAUUCAACAUGUCCGUGUAUUGUAUUGUACAGUGUGGUGCCAGAAAGGACAGAAAUCAACCGUAUUUGUCACUUCAUAGGCCAUCUUUCAAUCCAAAAUUGUCGACUGGAUUUACUGAAACAGGUGAUAUUGGAAAACUAAUCCACAGCUGCAACGUCGUCUGUGCUGCCAUUGCCCGUACGUCUGUCUCAUAAGUCAGUACAUGAAAAGUCUGUUCAAGAAGACGCGAUGAAAAAAUUAAAAGAUAGCCAAUUUGAAGAAUAUUAUGGAAGAUCUGCAGAAUAAAAAUCAAAUAAUAAAGGGCAAAGUGUAUUGAUGGAAGAAUUGGCAGGACCGCAAGACU